rnacentral:tRNA from 1 species
AAAUAAGAAGCAAAAAUUGCAAUUAGUUUCGACCUAAUCUUAGAUAUCACAUAUCCUUAUUUU